rnacentral:misc_RNA from 1 species
UUUCCGUAGGUGAACCUGCGGAAGGAUCAUUACAGUGUUCACUGCCCUUCGGGGUAGGAUCGCCACCCUUGAUUAUUUAUGAGUGUUGCUUUGGCGGGCCUCGCGGCCUGGCCGCGCCCCGGCUUCGGCGGGGGAGCGCCCGCCAGAGGAUUCUACAAACCUGAUUAUUAGUGUCGUCUGAGUACUAUAUAAUAGUUAAAACUUUCAACAACGGAUCUCUCGGUUCUG